rnacentral:rRNA from 1 species
AUUGAACGCUGGCGGCAGGCCUAACACAUGCAAGUCGAACGAGUGGCGGACGGGUGAGUAAUGUCUGGGAAACUGCCCGAUGGAGGGGGAUAACUACUGGAAACGGUAGCUAAUACCGCAUACCAUCAGAUGUGCCCAGAUGGGAUUAGCUCGUGGGUGGGGUAAUGGCUCACCUUGGCGACGUUCCCUAGCUGGUCUGCGAGGUUGACCAGCAACACUGGAACUGAGCAACGGUCCAGACUCCUACGGGAGGAAGCAGUGGGGAAUAUUGCACAAUGAGCGCAAGCCUGAUGCAGCCAUGCCGCGUGUGUGAAGAAGGCCUUCGGGUUGUAAAGCACGUUCAGCGAGGAGGCGUUACUCGCAGAGGAAGCACCGGCUAACUCCGUGCCAGCAGCCGCGGUAAUAC